UACGGAGGGAGCUAGCGUUAUUCGGAAUACUGGGCGUAAAGCGUGCGCAGGCGGUUUUGUAAGUCUGACGUGAAAGCCCCGGGCUUAACCUGGGAAUUGCGUUGGAGACUGCAAGGCUUGAAUCUGGCAGAGGGGGGUAGAAUUCCACGUGUAGCAGUGAAAUGCGUAGAGAUGUGGAGGAACACCGAUGGCGAAGGCAGCCCCCUGGGUCAAGAUUGACGCUCAUGCACGAAGCGUGGGGAGCAAACAGG
rnacentral:rRNA from 1 species